GCAAGUACUAGUCACCGAGGUAUUUCACAGGUUACAUAUUUUGAUUGACUAUGAAUGUGUGGUCAAAGUAAAAUACACAAACACGCACACCCAUACUCACAAACACAACUCUGCAAAAUUGAAGAAACUUUUCUACUAAGCCUUCAACUGCACAUUUUUUUCAGUCAUUUGCUUAUGUGGAACGUGUUGACAGAUGGAGUUAUAAUGCAAACCCUGAAAAGCACAUCAAAUGGAUGUAAGGGGACAGCAUUAGAUUACAUUAGCAAGUGUAAUUCUCGAACAAGUCAGUUUGAAUUAGGCCUACAAUUCACAGAAGACACCUAUGCAUAGACUAUGAGACUGUACACUGUAAAGAAAUGUUCAAAGAAUGUUUAACAUAACUUCUGAAAACUUGAGCCAGUCUUAAUGGCCCUCAUAGACCGUUAAAUGCACCCCCCUAGGACAUUAUUUUAAAACUUUCAAGUUCUAAUUCUCAAGAAGCACGUCUGGGCAGCACCAGCCAUUGCAGGGGCCUACUUUACCCUUUCCCUAUCCAUGCACUCGGUAGGGCAUUCAAUAGCCGUCUUGCUUGCCGGUUCUUUGCUCGAAAGGCGGGAUCGCAAUAGCCGGGAAGGGCGUUCUUUUUGCCCUUCAGAUGCAGCGUCGUCGCUAAGGGGUGGGUCCUUGGGAGCGCUGGAAAACCCACCUUUUUCAUUGUUUGGAACUCCAUGGAAUGUGAUGGUUUGAUCUUACGGUGCCGGGAGGGGGAGAAAGUGAGAACCGACCGAAAGCUGUUCCAAAAAGUAUUCUGCUUACUUUAUCGCUAAACUAACGCGAAAGAGGACGUGCUUUCCAACUCUAGGAUUGACCGCAUUGACAAGAGCAACGUGGAUCGAGCACUUUUUGGUGGAUUGCCACUUUAAGGCCAUCAAGAUUAAGAAAUAAUUGGCUGCUGACAGAGAGAGACUCAUGCUUCGCUGGGGCUCAGAUAUGUCGUAUAAUUAUUCAGCAUCUCGGGCUGCACACAAGAAGAUGCCUUGGCCCAGUCAGACGUGAUGAGCAAGAAGAGGUUUCUAAAUCCGUCUCCUAAGCAUGUCCUCAUGGGAGCAACCAAUCACACUCAUUGGUUCAUUCCAAAGCUCGAGGUGUGUUUCCUGAAAUAGGUAUCUCAAACGAGCUAAACACUACUAAGGAAAAUAGAUUUUAAAGGGGCUCAGAUUUCAUCAGUGUCUAUUUGGUGAUGGCAACGGGCAUUUGGCUGUCUUAGCAUUCUUUAGCGCCACACAUACACACACAGACACGCAUGGAGAGUCUAAAAUGAAGCGUAUCUUUAGCUCGUGUGCAGGACAGUGUUAUCUUGCUUUGCUUUGCACUGCCAUCUUACCGGUGAUCCUCAUCAGUUUCUAGGGAAGUAAAGAAUGUCUGAGGAACGCAUCAUCUGCUCUUCAUUUAGUCCACACAACCAUCCUCCGUUUCCUUAUCGGGGGAGAGAGAGAAAGAGAGAGAGAGAGAGAGAGAAUUCUGUAGAUGCCAUAAGAGAAUGGAGUCAUAUUCUUGGUUGGUUAUGUAAUGGCUAGCAU
ensembl:lncRNA